CAGUUUUUUUAAACAGUCCUGAGACACACGUUCGAGUUUUGUGUUUGUGAAUUUACUUCGGCCUGGAACCCACGUCUCUCAUCCUAAUUCACCUGUCAGGAGUCCAUCAUGCACUGGCUGGGCUCUAGGACUUUGAACAGCUGUGAUCAACACCCAGCAGGACACAAGAUGGAAGUUACAGAAAAGGCCGGGGCUUGGAUGUUUGCUUAUUGUUUUGAAGACUUAUCGUUUGCUUUCAAGAUAUCUCGAAUCUGCCUGAUUUGAACUGCCUGACUCGAGGUUUCCUUUUCAUGCCACCGAUCAUUUGGAAAGACUCCUCUCUUGUGGUUAGUACAGCCGCACGAGCAUGGGAGCAAGUUGUAAAAACGCCAUUUUCCUCACUCGGUUGACUGGCUGUGCGUAAAUAAACACAAACAAAAUGUGUCCACCCCGCCAAUGAUUCCAUCACUCUAAGUAGAGUCCGUGUUGGUGUGUGGGAAGCGCGCUCCAGGAAAAAGACGGCUGUGAGAAUCUAUGUAGAUCUCACUAAAUAUUUCUAAAUAACUACUCAUGAUGUCCUAUUUAUGUUUGUGCUGCACAUCAGGAGAGGGAGACAUUCAUCAAAUGAUUAAAUCAGACAUAUCCUCCUAUCAUUCAUCCUACCUACUUAUUCUAUCGCACUGCGUAGCCAACAGUCGUAUAAUUAUUUUUUAGUUUAGUUAUAAAAAGUUUAUUUUCAGUUCAGGAAACCAACGCAGAUAUUUCCAUGAGUACUUCCUAUUCAGUCACAAAUCCUCUUGCACUAAAUUGAUUGAUGCACAAUCCGUCCAAG